rnacentral:lncRNA from 1 species
AUGCAUCUAGGCUAGAAACAUGGGGCUGCAAUCAAUGUUCUAUAUUCAAGCUACUUGUCAAAAAUAUAUAUUUAAAUUCUAGUUGUGUCUUAAACAUUUUUGUUGAUGCUGUUUGUAAAUAAGCAAAUGAAUGACUCACAACCUAUUAUUUCUCCAUUUCUACACUCUAUCCACUAUUGACAGUUUUCUAUGUAAAGCCAACCAUAAUAUGAACUGCUGCCUUGGGAUCUAACCUUGAACCAACAACAAUUUACUCCAUAUGACUUUAGGGUGUUGUGGAAUCACUGG